CAAUUAGAUUACUCUGAAGAACUACAGGUAUCAUCGGCACUCAGGCAUCAUCAGAAAUGUCGAAUCUCAAGCAGAGAGUCCUGACACCAAUUCUAUUAACCAAAACUGGAACGUGUGUUUACUGGCUGCUGCCUCCUGUGAAUUCACACCAUGCGCUUGAAGACAAUGGAACAUAUUAAAGGCAUCUGUUUGUGUAGCAUCUCAAAAAAAGGUAUCACGUCAGAGACUGCAGUCCAUCAUUAAAGAAUCUGUGAUGAAAA
rnacentral:lncRNA from 1 species